CUGAAAUUACAAUGAAGCAAACACCAACACGUUCACAAUCGACCAUUUACAACGAAUCCAUUUGCAGCGUUAUUAUGUAGAUGGGAGUGUUAUUGAAUGGCUCUUCCCCGCAGUGUUUGGUUUUAUAGCCCUUCCAGAAUAGCCUGUGAAAGCCACAAUUGGGAUGUUUUUCGUCAAGCAGUACAUGUUGUAUUUUCAUUCCAAAAAAAAAAAAAUGAUGGCUUAGUGAGUAAGAGAGAGGAAGAAGAGAAGUGGUAGGCCUCUCUCAGUUUGUUGCUUAUAUACCAAACAAAGAGUCCUGGAAGCCUGCACGCGAUCAAUCUUACUCGCCAAAAGGUCUGACAGCUCGGUGCCCUCACAACACAUUUAAGGCUUCUAACUCUCCCCCGGAUCAAAUGCAGCCAGGAAGCGGCGAGAAACACUGGCCACUCAGAUUAGAACCAGUUUCUGCUCGCAGUUAUAGCCAGGCUGUCGCUGGAGGGAUCUUUUGAAAGAUAAAUAAGAAUCCAGCUAGACAAGAUGCGACCAUUUCCUUUUUGAGGAGGGAGGUAACGAGUCAACGAAUCUCCAUGAAGGGCCCGGGUGACAUUUUUAUUAUUAUGGAUGUGCCCACGCAGAUGAGAAGAGGGGAGAAGGCCACCCGAGAGUUUUUUUCCACGUCGAAUCAAGAGGAGGAGAGAGUAGCAUUUAUUCAGUAUUUGACUUUAUCCCUUUAUGUUAUUGAAUAUUAAAUAUGACCGCUGGUUUCACAUUAUUUUGUAUGCAUAAAUAUUAUACAAAUAUAGAGAUUUUCUAAUUAUCACCCAUGGUUUAUUAUUUAACUACUAACAUUUUAUUGUAUUGGCCUUCUAUUAUAUCUCCAUUUGUCUAAACAUGUAUUUUUUUUCUUUUGUAUUAUCACCUCCACAAUUCUACACCGUCAUGAAAUAUGUAACAACAAUAAUAAAAUGUAAUAAUUGCAAAAGUAGAAAUAUAUUUGGACAUUUUUAUUUAGGAAACGGUCUUGAAUUUAAUUGUGAAAUGCUUCUCAUGUGUCUAAAUUAAAACUACAAGGUUUGCUGCAAUUAUAUUUCAAUUCUUUUAUUUUUUUUUUCUUCGAACUGGAGCAGCAUGGAAUGUAUGCCAUCGAAAAAAAAAACAUUGAUGAUGUCUGUUUCUUUUCUUCAAUAAAGAAACUGUUAAAGUGUG